rnacentral:lncRNA from 1 species
AAUGAUAGCAAAUAUUCAGCAAAGGAUAGCACCUUUCCCUGAUCUUCCCUUUGCCCAUCUAAUAAUCCAGUCUACUUCUUGCUGCCAGUUCCCUAUGUUUCUAUGAAUUCCCAUCCAUGUAAGUAAUCUGCACCAUAGACCCCUUGUAAUUGGACAGUCAAAGUACAAGUGAUCAUGUGUUUCUAUAGUAUUACGACAGAAUGCACAAGCCAUAUCAACAUUAAUCCCAAACUUUGCUAGUCGAUCAACUGUAGCCAAUCUUUUUAACAAUGCAAGCCAUAGGAUGAAGUUGUGCCUCGGGUGGAUGCUUGAGUGAAGUACUAUGCUCUUCCAGG